UACGUAGGGUGCAAGCGUUGUCCGGAUUUAUUGGGCGUAAAGAGCGUGUAGGCGGCCGCACAGGUCCGUUGUGAAAACUGGAGGCUUAACCUUCAGACGUCGAUGGAAACCGUGCGGCUAGAGUCCGGAAGAGGAGAAUGGAAUUCCUGGUGUAGCGGUGAAAUGCGCAGAUAUCAGGAAGAACACCCGUGGCUAAGGCGGUUCUCUAGUACGGUACUGACGCUGAGACGCGAAAGCGUGGGGAGCGAACAGG
rnacentral:rRNA from 1 species